UACGUAGGGUGCAAGCGUUAAUCGGAAUUACUGGGCGUAAAGCGUGCGCAGGCGGUUUUGUAAGUCAGAUGUGAAAUCCCCCGGGCUUAACCUGGGGAACUGCGUUUGAAACUACAAGGCUAGAGUGUGGCAGAGGGGGGGUGGAAUUCCACGUGUAGCAGUGAAAUGCGUAGAGAUGUGGAGGAACACCGAUGGCGAAGGCAGCCCCCCUGGGUUAACACUGACGCUCAGGCACGAAAGCGUGGGGAGCAAACAGG
rnacentral:rRNA from 1 species